GACAUUACAAGAUAGCUGCUGACAAUCCCUGGGUUACCUGCUUCCUUGUCCACAUCUGAGGCAUUAUACCAGUUUGCAAGGAUAGCAAGUUUUCAACCAAUUUCAGUCACACACAUAGAAGCCAGUUACUAUGUUGUAAGGACUCCCAAGCAGCUCUGUGGAGAGGGCUAUAUGGUGAGGAACAGAGGCAUCCUACCAUAGCCCUGUGAAUGAGCCAUCUUGGAAAAUGCUCCUUCCACUCUGGUCAAGCCUUCAGAUAACCGGAGCCCAGGCUGUCCUCUUGACACCAACCUCAUGAGAAACUGAGCCAGA